GAUGUAAAUUUAAUGGCCGCAGUAUACUGACUGUGCAAAGGUAGCAUAAUCAUUAGUUUUUUAAUUGAAAGCUUGUAUGAAAGGUUUGAUGAAAAAAAAAUUGUCUCUAGGUAAAGGUUUUGAAAUUUAUUUUUAAGUUAAAAAGCUUAAAUUAAUAUUGAAGACGAGAAGACCCUAUAGAGUUUUAUUUAUAUUAGUAAUAAAUUAAGUUUUAGAAUUUUAAAUUUGUAUUAUUAAGUAAAUUUAGUUGGGGUGAUUGAAAAAUUUAUUAAACUUUUUUUUUAUUUGAACAUUUAUUUAUGAGUUUAUGAUCCUUUUUAAGAUUAUAAGAUAAAAUUACCUUAGGGAUAACAGCGUAAUUUUUUUUAGAGUUCUUAUCGAAAAAAAAGAUUGCGACCUCGAUGUUGGAUUAAAAUUAAAUUUUUGGUGUAGAAGCUAAAAAAUUAGGUCUGUUCGACCUUUAAAUUUUUACAUGAUCUGAGUUUAAACCGGCGUAAG
rnacentral:rRNA from 1 species